rnacentral:piRNA from 1 species
GGCUGAUUCAGGCAACUUAUGUGUCC